rnacentral:lncRNA from 1 species
CGAUGGUCAACCCAAGAAGAAGUCUCUCUGUGAGGAAUCUUGGAGUAACUUUUGAUCAAAAUCUCUCCUUCAACUUACAUAUUAAAUUAGUCUCUAGAAGUGCCUUUUUUCACCUGAGGAACAUCACAGAAAACUACUGACCCACCAUGAUGCUGAAAAGUUAUUCCAUGCAUUUGUUACUUCCAGGCUGGACUAUUCUUUAUUAUCAGGGUGUUCAAACUCCUCUUUAAGAAGCCUCCAGUUGAUCCAAAAUUCUGCAACCAGGUUCUGACAGGUAUUGACAAAAGAGAUCACAUUACUCCUGUACUGGUGUCUCUUCAUUGGCUGCCCGUUAAAUUUAGAAUAAUUUUUAAAACCCUUCUUUUGACCUACAAGGUUCUCAGAGGCCUAGCUCCAUCCUACCUGGAGGAGCUAGUGACAACUUACCAACCCAAUAGACCGCUCUGUUCUCAGAAUGCUGGUCUACUUGUGGUCCCCAGAGUUUCUAGGGGUAGAAUGGGGGGCCGAGCAUUUAGCUACCAGGCCCCCUGCUGUGGAACCAGCUCCCUGUCCAGGCCCCCCUGCUAUGGAACCAGCUCCUUGUCCAGGUACGGGAGGCUGACUCCAUCGCUACUUUUAAGGUCAGACUCAAAACCUACCUCUUUGAAAAAGCUUAUUGUUACUAAUUCAGUAGUUCCAGUUACUAUCAUACUUAGGGGGUCGUCUAAUCGUUAGGUCACAUCUUCGUUAUGCUGUUAUAGGCCAAGGCUGCCGGGGUCCGGAAACAUGAUCACCUGACAGGCCUCUGUCACUCCACUGGGUCAUGGUUUCCUCUCCUCUCCUUUCCUCUCCUCAUCAAGCAGACUAGUUAUGCUGAUUCUUGUGUAGUUUUUCUGCUUCUCCCCCCCCCCCCCUCUAUUUAUUUACAGGUAUCGCCGCCCUCGGAGCUGCAUAAUGACCUCCGGCCCCGCUGAAGUGAUUGUGCAUCAUAUUUUUUGUGUGUGUGUUUCUGUGCCUCUCCUCUCCUCUCCUCUCCCCCUCCUUCUCCUCUCCCUCUCCUCUUCUUUCCUCUCCUCUUUCCCCUCCUCCUCCUUCUCCUCUCCUCUACCUCCCCUUCACUCUACUUCUCCUCUCCUCUCCUCUCCUCUCCUACCCUACCUAUCCUAUCCUCUACCUGUCCUCCCCUGUCCACAUUAGUGUCUAUAUAGUCCUAAAAGUGAGACAUGACCAGCCACUCAAAGCACUUCAUGACAAUCUGUGACAGCCACUGGGCCACAGAUUCCUGAAAACCUCGGGAUGGCGGCGAUGAUGGUGGUCAGCACCUUUGCCUGGGAGAGUGCUGUGUUAAAAAUGUCCAUCAGCACCUCUGAGUCAGUCCAUAACGAAGGAGAUUUUCAAGGCUUUAUUAUCUGCAGUGACCACCUCACCUCCUCAGCUGUCAGACUGAGCGGCACCUCAUCAGAAGAGGGGGAAGACGGGUGCAGGAAGAGGUGUUGGAAGCCUUGAAAAGGUCAAAGAAGCCAUUAAGAGCAUCAGGAGGAGAGAGGUCAUUGGGGCACUCGGCGUCCGCUCUUGUUGUAGUCAGUGAUGCAAUGUUUAUAUCACCGUUUUUGCAAUAAUGGAGUGUGGUGUGUGAUGACGCACGGGCAUAGAAAUGGGAACUGUAUACCCCACAGUGAAUGACAAUAUUAGCAGUGGUCUUGAAGCUGCAAGAUACUUACACCUUUAUUUUCUACCAGGUGGGGCAGCAGGUGUACCAGUUGCAGGAUUCAGGAUGAUGCUGAACAUGCAUAAUUUUUUGCAUGUGGUAUAGAAAUGGGUGGUGCAGAUGGUGCUGAUCUCAUUGAACCUGGUCCUGAUGGUUUUUUCUGUUCCUCAGCAGCACUGAGGUCCAGCAGAACCAGCAUAGAAACCAGUCCAUGAUCUGAAGCUAUAAGAAAAUCAUUAGUAACUUUAAGAAGUGCUGUUACUGUGCUGUGAUGAGCUCUAAAGCCUGACUGAAACACCUCAAACAGGCUGUUCCUCUGCAGGUGCUCCAGUAACCGAGUCACUACAACCUUCUCUAGAAUUUUAGAGAUAAAAGGAAGGUUGGAUAUUGGCCUAUAAUUUGCUGGUACGUCCGGAUCCAGUGACGUUUUUUUUUUUUUUUUUUAAGCAACAGCUUAAUCACUGCCACCUUGUAGGACCGGGGUAUAUAACCUGUCACUAAACAACAAUUGAUCUGGUCCAGGAUAGAACUGCCUAUCAAUGGUAAAAGAUCCUUCAACAGGUGUGUUGGGAUGGGAUCUUAAAGACACGUGGUGGUCUUGGAUUUCUGAAUUAGUGACGACGCCUCAGAAAAAUAUAUAGGACUGAAAGAGUUUAAGGGCUCAUUGGAGACCCUGUAUGUUCCCCCAGUCAGCACAUCUGGUGAUGGUCCAGUUGUUGGGAUAGCCUGGUUAGCUUUCUCUCUGAUAGCUAGAAAUUUAUCAUUGAAUAAGCUCAUGAAGUCUUCACCACUAAGGGAAGAAGGGAUAUGUGGAUCUAAAACACUGUGACUCUUAGUUAAUUUGGCCACAGUGCUGAAAAGAAACCUGGGGUUGCUCUUAUUCUUCUCAAUUAAAGAAGAAAAAUAAGCUGUUCUAGCCUGACGGAGGGCCUUUUUAUAAACUACUAGACCAGGGUGUUCACAUUGUUUCAGCAUGCGAGCUACUUACAAAAUGACCAAGUCAAAGUGAUCUACCCACCACAAAAAUGCAAAACAUCUCAUUUUCAAAUGUAUCGAGGAUUCUUUGUAUGUACAAUGUAUGUUGAUGUACCUAGCAUAACCGAAUGAGCCAGUUUUGCAAAACACACAUAAUUAACUAUUAACAUUUUUUUGUAAUUGCCUGAGUUUACUUUAAACUUGCACUGAAUUGAAUCAGCCAGGGAUGCAUAGUCUGGACAGCAGCUGCUGACAGCCAGCCUCAAGCACACUUCCAAAUGUUCAUCAGUCAUGGUGGAACAUAUUUGGACUUAAUAAUCUUCAUGUACUUAAUAAUCUUCAACGAACUUCGAAAAUGACAUCGUGAAAAAAGUCCACCUCCCAUUCCGUAUGAAAGUGAUAUGUUUUUGUCUUACUUGGUCCCGCUCCCUCAUUCAUUUUGAUGACCAUAAGCUUUAGCGAUGGCUUAAAAUCAGAGGUAAUUUGCUGAAUAGCUUAGUGCAUCUGACUGGUUGCCGUGUAUGUCAAUCAAGUAACGGGAUUGAUAAUAGGCUGACAUCGUAAGUUCUGCUGCACUUAGCGCCGUUGUUUGCGCUUGAUUGGUCAUCUGAAUGUCAAAUUCAGUUGUCAUCUAACUGGCUGCCCUGUAUAUAAAUCAAGUGAUGGGAUAAAUGAUAGGCUGAUAUUUUUUAAUGCCAUGCCGUGAUCGACCAGUACUACCUCUGCAAUCGACCGGUAGAUCGCGAUCGACGUAAUGAGCACCCUUGUACUAGACAUUCUUUCCAGGCUACAUGAGAGCUAUCUAUUUUACAAGAAUACCACUUCCUUUCUAGUCUUCCCACUCUGCUUGAGGGUCCUAAUAUGUGAAUUAUACCAGGGGGCACACCUCCUCUGAUUUACUAUUUUCUUUUUCAAGGGGGCAACAGAAUCACGUGUGAUUCUCAGUGAGGCUGCUGCACUUUCAGUAAUAGAGUCAACCUCUGCGGGACCAAGAUUAUAAUGAUUGAUCCCUGGGGAAACACACAGUGGUCCUGGGAUCAACGCAGGGAUCACAUCCUUAAACUUAGCUACAGCAUUAUCUGAAAGACAUCUGCUAUAGUAAGACUGUGCUCUGAACAUUGAAGAAUCUCUAAUAAUAAAUGUAAAAGUGAUCAAAGAAUGGCCUGACAGGAGUGGGUUCUGAGGGAACACUGACACAUGUUCUACCUCAACACCAUAAGUCAGAACUAGAUCUAAGGUGUGAUUGAAGCUAUGAGUUGGUUGGUUUAUCUGCUGGAGGAAACCAACUGACUCAAGUAAUGAAAUGAAGCCAUUUCUGAAGCUGUCAUUUAUAACAUCUAUAUAUAUAUAUAUAUAUAUAUUAAAGUCUCCAAUAAUAAUGACUUUGUCUGUUCCAAGGACCAAGUCAGAUAAGAAAUCAGAGAACUCAGAAAGGCACUUUGGAUUUCACCCAGCAGGGGGCCAAUAUACAACUACAAACUACAACUACAAAGUGGCUUUUCUGCCUUCCAGUUCAGAUGGGUGAUGCAGAGAGUCAGGCUUUCAAAUGAACUGGCACUAUGUUUUGGUCUAGGAUUACCUAAUAACUUGGAGUGAUAGAUUGCUGCCACUCCACCUCCUCGACCAGUAACACGAGAAACACGAUAAUUAAGAUGGGUAGGAAGAAUAGAUUCGUUGAAGCUAACAUACUACUCCUGAAGCCAGGUCUCAGACAAAAUAACUCAAUGUGAUGAUCCACUAUCAGGUCGUGCACUAACAGGGAUUUACACAAAAGAGAUCUAAUAUUUAAUAGUCCACAUUUAAUUGUGAUGUUAGUUUCUCCAAUUUGUGCUUUGGUAUUAAUUUUAAUAAGGAGUCGACUCCCAUGCCAGGCAGACGGCAUGCCGCACCCGCUGUUGUGGUUCUUGAACGUGACUCGUUUCUUCCCUCCUCCCUUCACCUGCAGGAGCGACUGCCAGGGGCGGGCCGAUCCCUGGGGAGCGCUGAGCCGCUGACGCACCUGCAGCUCGUUGCUUCGAUUCGGCAGCUACUUAAACUCCCCUCUCUUUGCCUCCUGUGCUGGAUUGUUUGUGUUUUUUGAAUCAAGCUCCAGCUCCCCGUGACUAUUAGCCCUUCGCAUUGUUUAUUCCUUUCGCCCAGUAAGUUUGUUUUGUGCUUUGUCACUUCUUUCUGUUGUUUCCUUUCA